UACGUAGGGUGCGAGCGUUAAUCGGAAUUACUGGGCGUAAAGCGUGCGCAGGCGGUUUUGUAAGUCAGAUGUGAAAUCCCCGGGCUUAACCUGGGAAUGGCAUUUGGGACUGCAAGGCUGGAGUGCGGCAGAGGAGACUGGAAUUCCUGGUGUAGCAGUGAAAUGCGUAGAUAUCAGGAGGAACACCGGUGGCGAAGGCGGCGAUCUGGGUCGAUACUGACGCUGAGGUGCGAAAGCGUGGGGAGCAAACAGG
rnacentral:rRNA from 1 species